rnacentral:rRNA from 1 species
GAUGAACGCUGGCGGCGUGCUUAACACAUGCAAGUCGAACGAAGGCUUUACGACAGAACUCUUCGGAGGGAAGAUGGAAAGACUUAGUGGCGGACGGGUGAGUAACGCGUGGGUAACCAGCCCCAUACAGGGGAAUAACAGCCGGAAACGGCUGCUAAUGCCGCAUAAGCGCACAGAGCCGCAUGGCACGGUGUGAAAAGCUCCGGCAGUAUGGGAUGGGCCCGCGUCUGAUUAGCUGGUUGGUAAGGUAACGGCUUACCAAGGCGACGAUCAGUAGCCGGCUUGAGAGAGUGGACGGCAACAUUGGGACUGAGACACGGCCCAAACUCCUACGGGAGGCAGCAGUGGGGAAUAUUGCACAAUGGGGGAAACCCGGAUGCAGCGACGCCGCGUGAAGGAAGAAGUAUUUCGGUAUGUAAACUUCUAUCAGCAGGGAAGAAGAAAGACGGUACCUGACUAAGAAGCUCCGGCUAAAUACGUGCCAGCCGCCGCAGUAAAAC